AUUGAACGCUGGCGGCAGGCCUAACACAUGCAAGUCGAGCGGCAGCGGGAUAGUAGCUUGCUACUUUUGCCGGCGAGCGGCGGACGGGUGAGUAAUGCCUGGGGAUCUGCCCAGUCGAGGGGGAUAACAGUUGGAAACGACUGCUAAUACCGCAUACGCCCUACGGGGGAUAGGAGGGGACCUUCGGGCCUUUCGCGAUUGGAUGAACCCAGGUGGGAUUAGCUAGUUGGUGGGGUAAUGGCUCACCAAGGCGACGAUCCCUAGCUGGUCUGAGAGGAUGAUCAGCCACAGUGGAACUGAGACACGGUCCAGACUCCUACGGGAGGCAGCAGUGGGGAAUAUUGCACAAUGGGGGAAACCCUGAUGCAGCCAUGCCGCGUGUGUGAAGAAGGCCUUCGGGUUGUAAAGCAGUUUCAGCGAGGAGGAAAGGUUGGCGCCUAAUACGUGUCAACUGUGACGUUACUCGCAGAUGAAGCACCGGCUAACUCCGUGCCAGCAGCCGCGGUAAUACGGAGGGUGCAAGCGUUAAUGGGAAUUACUGGGCGUAAAGCGCACGCAGGCGGUUGGAUAAGUUAGAUGUGAAAGCCCCGCGCUCAACCUGGGAAUUGCAUUUAAAACUGUCCAGCUAGAGUCUUGUAGAGGGGGGUAGAUUUCCAGGUGUAGCGGUGAAAUGCGUAGAGAUCUGGAGGAAUACCG
rnacentral:rRNA from 1 species